UUAAUAUGUGUGUACCUACAUAACUACACUGACUGACAUAGCCCGCAAUCGCUAAAAUCAAGUGGCAGUGGGCGGGGCACAUAGGUCGUAGAGCUGAUGGCCGCUGGGGCUGGAAAAUUCUUGAGUGGCGACCACGAGCCGAAAGAAGGCAGGCCUCCUACUCGCUGGACCGACGAUCUGUGGGUCUAGACAAAGUGCAAAUUAUAAUCGCAAACCAGUCGAAAAGUGGUCGAAAAGCCCCUUUUUUGUAUAGAGUUUUGACGGAUUCGAUUUUCGAUUCGAUCAAAAAGUGCGUCUUGUCUAAGGGGGCUGGUUAGUGGCGGCGUAGCAUGGGUUGGCACCGGAAGAGCAACAAAGAAUGAGCGAGCGAGAUGUCACUAUCUGCAACCCUGUGUGAUAAAAAGAGAUGUGUAAUGCCGUCACCGUCACGUCAAUAGAACCAUUUUUGCAAAAGAUUUGACAGACAGUGACACUAAGAGGCACAAAGAAAAUUUCAAUUCAUUGUUUUUUAUAAAAAUUUCGGAAAAUCCUGUUUAUUUUUGUAAAAAUUGUAUUCUAAUAUAAUGGUGACCGGUUCCGUCCUUGAUUGUGAUGUACACCAAAGGAAUAAUCCUGCAAAAUAUUCAUUUCACAGAUGUUUGUACUGUGCGGGAAUCGAACCCGCUACCUCCGGAAUAGUAGUCCGUUUCGAACCACUACACUAUACGGCCAACAACGAUUAUUACAUCGUUAGAAUCCUAUUUUCUUACGUUAUCGUCAGAAUUAUCAUUUUUUAAUUAUUGUUUUACUCCUACUAAUAUUAUAAAUGCGAAAGUUUGUAUGGAUGUCUUGAUGUUUGUAACUCUCACUCUUUCAAAUAAAUAAGUUGAAUAAUUUUAA